UACGGAGGGUGCAAGCGUUAUCCGGAUUCACUGGGUUUAAAGGGUGCGUAGGUGGGCAGGUAAGUCAGUGGUGAAAUCUCCCGGGCUUAACUCGGAAACUGCCAUUGAUACUAUUGAUCUUGAAUACCGUGGAGGUCAGCGGAAUAUGUCAUGUAGCGGUGAAAUGCUUAGAUAUGACAUAGAACACCCAUUGCGAAGGCAGCUAACUACGCGAUAAUUGACGCUGAUGCACGAAAAGCGUGGGGAUCAAACAGG
rnacentral:rRNA from 1 species